CGGGGUGCAGCAGGCGCGAAAACUUUACAAUGCCGGCAACGGCGAUAAGGGAACCUCGAGUGCCAGGUUACAAAUCUGGCUGUCGUGAUGCCUAAAAAGCAUUGCAUAGCAAGGGCCGGGCAAGACCGGUGCCAGCCGCCGCGGUAACACCGGCGGCUCGAGUGGUAACCGUUAUUAUUGGGUCUAAAGGGUCUGUAGCCGGCCGGAUAAGUCUCUUGGGAAAUCUGGCAGCUUAACUGUCAGGCUUUCAGGAGAUACUGUCUGGCUCGAGGCCGGGAGAGGUGAGAGGUACUUCAGGGGUAGGGGUGAAAUCUUGUAAUCCUUGAAGGACCACCAGUGGCGAAGGCGUCUCACCAGAACGGACCUGACGGCAAGGGACGAAAGCUAGGGGCACGAACCGGAUUAGAUACCCGGGUAGUCCUAGCCGUAAACGAUACUCGCUAGGUGUCGGCCACGGUGCGACCGUGGUCGGUGCCGUAGGGAAGCCGUGAAGCGAGCCACCUGGGAAGUACGGCCGCAAGGCUGAAACUUAAAGGAAUUGG
rnacentral:rRNA from 1 species